rnacentral:rRNA from 1 species
UACGGAGGGUGCAAGCGUUGCCCGGAUUUAUUGGGUUUAAAGGGUGCGUAGGCGGUCUUUUAAGUCAGCGGUGAAAUCCUCCAGCUUAACUGGAGAACUGCCAUUGAUACUGGAAGACUUGAGUAUAGUUGAGGUAGGCGGAAUUGACGGUGUAGCGGUGAAAUGCAUAGAUAUCGUCAAGAACCCCGAUUGCGAAGGCAGCUUACUAAACUAUAACUGACGCUGAGGCACGAAAGUGCGGGGAUCAAACAGG